UCGAUUAUCUUACCAACGAUAAUCGAUUAUCGUUUAUCCGUUAUUUCUCAACGUCUAGAAUUUCAAAUGAGAUAACCGAUUAUCUAAGUGCGAUAAUCGAUUAUCGUUAAAAUAAUCGAUUAUCUGACAUAAGUUAAUCGAUUAUCUUAGUAUCCGUUGCCUUUCAACGUCUAUAUUUUUGAAAGGUUAAUCGAUUAUCGUCCUGCUAGUAUCCGUUGCCUUUCAACGACUAUAUUUUUGAAAGGUUAAUCGAUUAU
rnacentral:lncRNA from 1 species